rnacentral:rRNA from 1 species
UACGUAGGGGGCUAGCGUUGUCCGGAUUUACUGGGCGUAAAGGGCGCGUAGGCGGCGCAACAAGUCACUUGUGAAAUCUCCGGGCUUAACCCGGAGCGGUCAAGUGAUACUGUCGUGCUAGAGUGCGGAAGGGGCUACUGGAAUUCUCGGUGUAGCGGUGAAAUGCGUAGAUAUCGAGAGGAACACCUGCGGCGAAAGCGGCGCGCUGGACCACUACUGACGCUGGAGGAACGAAAGCUAGGGGAGCAAACAGG